CAGGGAGACAACAAAAUGUUAAAUAUUAAUUUUGUCACCUUAGGUCGAUCGGUUUCUCACAUUCUUAAUUAAUUUAAGAAUUUUAUUUCCUAAGUUUUUCUAGGUCACACCCAUCAUUUUUCCUGGGCCAUUAGCUCAGGUGGUUAGAGCGCACCCCUGAUAAGGGUGAGGUCCCUGGUUCAAGUCCAGGAUGGCCCAUAUCUCUAUGUUGGGGGUAUAGCUCAGUUGGUAGAGCGCCUGCUUUGCAAGCAGGAUGUCAGCGGUUCGAGUCCGCUUACCUCCACUGAUUACCACCUCUUCCAUAUUUAGAAGGGAAAUUUUGAGUUGUGAUCUAAUUCUGAACGAAUCUAGCUUCCUAAUUAAACUUAUUAAGAUGCUGGACUCAUUGAAUUAAUUUCAUUGUUUUCAGAGAACCUUGACAACUGCAUAGAUUAUUUUUAAAGACAAUAAGCAUCUUUAAUGAUGCAGAUUUAUUAUUUGUGCGAAUGCAUUAAUAACAAUUCUAUUAAGCUGAUGCUUCAUUUUUGAAGUUAUU
rnacentral:tRNA from 1 species